UACGUAGGGAGCAAGCGUUGUCCGGAAUCAUUGGGCGUAAAGCGCGCGUAGGCGGCCCGAUAAGUCCGCUGUGAAAGUCAACGGCUCAACUGUUGGAUGCCGGUGGAUACUGUCGGGCUAGAGUACGGAAGAGGCAAGUGGAAUUCCUGGUGUAGCGGUGGAAUGCGCAGAUAUCAGGAGGAACACCUAUAGCGAAGGCAGCUUGCUGGGACGUUACUGACGCUAAGGCGCGAAAGCGUGGGGAGCGAGCAGG
rnacentral:rRNA from 1 species